UGUCUCGGUGGCGUAGUGGUAGAGCACGCAUCCCUGGAUAGAACGAAACGUGGGUUCGAUUCCUGUCUGAGCAA